AGUGAACGCUGGCGGUAGGCCUAACACAUGCAAGUCGAACGGCAGCACAGUAAGAGCUUGCUCUUACGGGUGGCGAGUGGCGGACGGGUGAGGAAUACAUCGGAAUCUACUUUUUCGUGGGGGAUAACGUAGGGAAACUUACGCUAAUACCGCAUACGACCUACGGGUGAAAGCAGGGGAUCUUCGGACCUUGCGCGAUUGAAUGAGCCGAUGUCGGAUUAGCUAGUUGGCGGGGUAAAGGCCCACCAAGGCGACGAUCCGUAGCUGGUCUGAGAGGAUGAUGAGCCACACUGGAACUGAGACGCGGUCCAGACUCCUACGGGAGGCAGCAGUGGGGAAUAUUGGACAAUGGGCGCAAUCCUGAUCCAGCCAUACCGCGUGGGUGAAGAAGGGCUUCGGGUUGUAAAGCCCUUUUGUUGGGAAAGAAAAGCAGCAGGUUAAUACCCCGCUGUUCUGACGGUACCCAAAGAAUAAGCACCGGCUAACUUCGUG
rnacentral:rRNA from 1 species